rnacentral:rRNA from 1 species
AUGAAUGUCGUAAUUGAUAUCUUUGUGAUAUUGAUAAGUUCUUUUUGUAAAAAAAAAGUGAAUGUUGAGGCGAGCACUUUUUCAGUCGUGCACGGAGUCUCCUUCCAUUCAUCUGACGACACACGCGCGCACAUCCACGGGCAAACACACCCACAUGGUAACCAUAGGCUGCAGAGGGCCCACGUGCUGUCUUUCUUUCCUGUACCUGGGCCGUUUUCUUGCCAGUCUCUUGCGGCUGGCCGUUUUCUUGGCAGCCUCUUGCGGCUGGCCGUUUCGUCCAAGAACCUCCUGCUGCUGAUGGCGACGUAG